GUUCAGGUGUUGUGCGAGGGUUGCUUACAGUCUCGGCGUGUACGGGCGUGUGGGCUAACCGGGGAUUUUGUGCUCGAGUGUUGGGUUUGUGAUUUUGAAGUAGCAUUCGUCUCCGUCACCAACCAGCAGUUAUGUCCGGGUCAUCGAUGAUGGAUAACUUCCGUGCUCUGCUCCAGCUAGCACAUGCCGUCCAUUCACCCUCGGCGCCGACCAGAGCACUCCGGUCGCUGGAGCUCAAUAGCACAGACCCGGUAAGUAAGCCAGGCGUCAGUACUGGAUAAGGGAUGCUAACACCUGCUUCUACUAACACCGGGAUCUCUGGGACAUAUUGAUGGGCACUCGUGUUACUUGUUAAGGAUCGGUGGUUUGAUAGUGUUACCGUUAUUUUAUUUUAGGUAUUUGCGGGAAUAUUGUCAUGUUGGGUAAAUAUUCGAUAGAUUCCCAUACGGUCAGUGCUUGCAUAUUAAGUCUUUUCAGUGUAUCGUUGUUUUAUGAUAUGGCUCUCAAUCAAGUGCAAGGAUUUUUUAGAUGAUGUUUCUGUACGUCAAGAACUAGACUAGAUUUUUUCUCAUAAUUACAUAAUCGUCAUAUUUAUGUGGGAUCACCACUUCUUAUGUUUUCCUUUGAGUAAU